rnacentral:rRNA from 1 species
CCGUAUUAGCUAGUUGGUGGGGUAACGGCCUACCAAGGCGACGAUACGUAGCCGACCUGAGAGGGUGAUCGGCCACACUGGAACUGAGACACGGUCCAGACUCCUACGGGAGGCAGCAGUAGGGAAUCUUCCGCAAUGGGCGAAAGCCUGACGGAGCAACGCCGCGUGAGUGAUGAAGGUCUUCGGAUCGUAAAGCUCUGUUGUUAGGGAAGAACAAAUGUGUAAGUAACUGUGCACAUCUUGACGGUACCUAACCAGAAAGCCACGGCUAACUACGUGCCAGCAGCCGCGGUAAUACGUAGGUGGCAAGCGUUAUCCGGAAUUAUUGGGCGUAAAGCGCGCGUAGGCGGUUUUUUAAGUCUGAUGUGAAAGCCCACGGCUCAACCGUGGAGGGUCAUUGGAAACUGGAAAACUUGAGUGCAGAAGAGGAAAGUGGAAUUCCAUGUGUAGCGGUGAAAUGCGCAGAGAUA